CCUACGGGAGGCAGCAGUGGGGAAUAUUGGGCACUGGACGCAAGUCUGACCCAGCAACGCCGCGUGAAGGAAGAAGGCUUUCGGGUUGUAAACUUCUUUUAAGGGGGAAGAGCAGAAGACGGUACCCCUUGAAUAAGCCACGGCUAACUACGUGCCAGCAGCCGCGGUAAUACGUAGGUGGCAAGCGUUGUCCGGAUUUACUUGGCGUAAAGCGCUCGUAGGCGGUAUGUCAAGUCAAGGGUGAAAUCCCCGCGCUCAACGUGGGAACUGCCUUUGAAACUGGCAAACUGGAGUGUGUGAGAGGAUAGUGGAAUUCCAGGUGUAGGAGUGAAAUCCGGAGAUAUCUGGAGGAACAUCAGUGGCGAAGGCGACUAUCUGGCACAUAACUGACGCUGAGGAGCGAAAGCGUGGGUAGCAAACAGGAUUAGAUACCCCAGUAGUC
rnacentral:rRNA from 1 species